rnacentral:lncRNA from 1 species
CAUGAACUAAUUUCAGGUUAAAUAUGAAAAAAACUCCAAGAGACCUAACAACAUGUUUUCCAUCUCUAGGGUUCUUGUGUUUAUUCCUUCGUUAUUCUCUAAACCUCUUGGAAGCACCACUCUUUACAAAUAGGGGAGGUCAAGCCUGGGGUCAUGAUAAAUGUUAAUCCUGGCAAUAAAAGUAGCCCCCAAAGCAGCUGAGGAAUGUUCAUCCUGACCCUCCUGCUCUGGGCAGCUGCGGUGGUGUGGCAGACCCAUCUGCUCCUCCCAGACAGCCACUACUCCCUUCUCCAAAGUCCCCGUGGAACACACUCCUCCCUGGAAGCCUCCUCACACCAGAGGCUCCCUCUGGAACACGCCCUUUGAGCCACCCAAGAAAAUCGAUCUCUUUCAACUCCAGGACUUCAUUUUGCCCCCAAAUGGAACACCCCAGCUCCUGAUGAUCUUUGGCUGUUUGCACAGGUGCCAAUAGAGUCACAGUGAGGAGGGCACCAGGUGUCACCUAGAAAUGAAGUGGUGACUGAGGGGUAUUAGUGAGGACAGCUGCCCCCUGCCUUCUGUAGCACCAUGCCUAGUAUUCCAGACCCUCUUCCAGGUGGUUCAUCUCCAUCAUCUUCUUGGUCCUCAAGGCUUUGGAGAACUGGAGCCAAAGGAAGACCCAAAUUCCCUUGAACAGGGCAGUGUUCACAGGUGAGUGCCACUUCCCCAGGAGCAGCUGUGGAAGGUCAGUGAAGUAGGUGCGUGGAGGGGUUUUAUCAGGGGUUCGUUCCAUAGUCAGCUGGGAACUGAUGUCAUGCCUGAGAACACAGGGUCAGGGUCAAGGAUCAGCCUCAGACUGCCAGAUUGCUCUGGGGGAGACACCUCAGGCUCAUUCCUUCACCACACACAGGUAUGCAUGGUCAGGGCUUCGAGUGGCUCUGGUCCCCUUCAUCCUGCCUCAGUGCUCUCUCCUGGGACUCGAAUGCUUGCCAGGUGGGAGGAGGACUCAAGACUCUGUGCCUCUUAGCGUGCGUGGGCUGCCGAUUGCACAACCCAGACAGCUGCCCGCCGGUCUCUCCCGCCUCUGCCUGUACUGACUCUCAGGCUGUCUCUGGGGCGUUCCUCUGGCUCACCUGCCCUGCCACAGCCACCCAGGCCCAGUGGCUUCCCACUCUCAUUCACUGCAACUACCGCCAGGACUUGACCCUGUCACAAAACUAACUGGAGCCCUGCUGCAAUGAAAGCCAGUCGGAGGCUAAUUGGCUUUGUCAAAAUUGAGGCCCAUGGGCUCUGGAGCCAGCCUGCCUGCCUGAGUCAAAUCCUGGCUCCACCACUUACUAGGUGCAUGAACUUGAACAGCCACUUGACCUUGGUUUCUUCUGCAACAUGGGGCUCCUACAACCUCAUGGGACAGACAGAAAGGUUCAGUGAGUCAGAACAAGCAGUGCUCAGGGUCUGGCACGAAGAAAUUACAGUCGUCUCUUGGGAUUUAGGGAUGGACACACACCAGGCCCCACCCCACACACAACAAAAUCUGCAGAUACUCAAAUCUCUUGUAUAAGAUAGAAUAGUAUUUGCAUAUAAGCAUGCUAUUGUAUAAACUAUCUCUAGAUUACUUACAAUACCUAAUUCAAUGUAAAUAAAUCAUUGCCAUAGUGUAUGAUUUAAGGACUAAUGACAAGAAAAACAUCUGCAUAUUCAGUACAGACGCAAUUUCUUAAUAUUUUCAGUCUGCAGUUGGUUGAAUCCACAGGUGCAGAACCCCCACCUUUAUUACUAGUGCCCUGGAGGUCUGGUUCAAAUUGCUCCUCGCCCCUUCCUUCCUUUCCCUUUCCCUGUGCCUAAGCAUCAAUUGACCCCAUCCCCACAUCCACUCUCUCGUUCUCUCUCUCUCUCUCUCUCUCUCUCUCUCUCUCUCUCUCUCUCUCUCUCUCUCACGCUCUUGCUCUCUCUCGGUAUUGAGGAUUGAAACCAGGGGCGCUUAGCCCCUGAGCCCCAUCCCCAGCCCUUUUUAAUAUCUUAUUUAGAGAUAGGGUCUUGCUGAGUUGCUCAGUGCCUUACUAAGUUACUGAGCCUGUCUUUAAACUUGCAAUCCUCCUGCCUCAGCCUCCCCGAGCCACUGGGAUCUUAGGUGUCUGGCUUACAGUCCUCAUGCAGGUGCUGCCUCCUCCUCUCUAGGCCUCCAGUGCCCUGCUGCCAGCUGUCACAACACCAUGAGCCCCCAGGCCGGCUGCCCGAGGCUCUUCAUGUGCUCACAACCCCAUCUUUUCCUGAGGCCCUUCCAGAGACUGUGCUGACCAGCUUGACCUGCGAGCCCCACUCCUGGUUGACAAACUCCUAGGACCUCCCAUUUGCAAACGUUUUGUUUAAGCCACCUUAACUAAGUAAUCAGUUCCCCCACUUAACCAAUGAUUCAUACACCUGCCUACAAAGGUUUCCAACGAACAAUAGAGAUCCCCCCAUAUUCCCCCACUGAGUGGGCAUAUUUCCUGUCAAAUCGAGAACGCUAUCACCCAGGGGUUCCUGCUCAAUGAUGAACAUACAAUCAACAUGAGUCUUCUGUAAAAUCUUGACCUUCAGGCCUGGAGCCCUGCUACCACCUUAGACCUGAAUGCCCUGGGAGGCUCUUCCUGACUUUUCUAAAGAAGUAGGAUGAACGCACAGCGGGGAGGGUUCCCCAGAGCAGUGUCCUCUCGCUCUUAUGUGAGCCACCCCAGGCUCACAAGCAGCUUGUUGUGAGGAAUGGGUUUCCAGGGCUGGACAGGGUGUCAUCAGACACUAAGGGGACUGUCCCACACCCACAGGCACCAGCCAGGCUUGCAGAGGUGAUAGGAAGAGAUAUUGGCUUCCUGGAACCAAAUGGCCUUGACUGAGGCAGGUCCAGCCUGAUCAGGACUCAGGAGCCCACAGGUCUGGACUCUGACGGGUUAGGAUGGGAAAAGCAGUGCCAAGCCAGGCAGCUUACUAAGCACUUCCAUGCACUGGAGGAAGGAGAGGCAGGAAUUAAAG